rnacentral:rRNA from 1 species
CCUACGGGAGGCAGCAGUGGGGAAUAUUGGGCAAUGGACGCAAGUCUGACCCAGCAACGCCGCGUGAAGGAAGAAGGCUUUCGGGUUGUAAACUUCUUUUAAGGGGGAAGAGCAGAAGACGGUACCCCUUGAAUAAGCCACGGCUAACUACGUGCCAGCAGCCGCGGUAAUACGUAGGUGGCAAGCGUUGUCCGGAUUUACUGGGUGGAAAGGGCGUGCAGCCGGAGAGACAAGUCAGAUGUGAAAUCCACGGGCUCAACCCGUGAACUGCAUUUGAAACUGUUUCCCUUGAGUGUCGGAGAGGUAAUCGGAAUUCCUUGUGUAGCGGUGAAAUGCGUAGAUAUAAGGAAGAACACCAGAGGCGAAGGCGGAUUACUGGACGAUAACUGACGGUGAGGCGCGAAAGCGUGGGGAGCAAACAGGAUUAGAUACCCCAGUAGUC